rnacentral:rRNA from 1 species
UACAGAGGUCUCAAGCGUUGUUCGGAUUCAUUGGGCGUAAAGGGCGCGUAGGUGGCUCCGUAAGUCAGGUGUGAAAUCUCGGGGCUCAACCCCGAAACUGCACUUGAUACUGCGGUGCUCGAGUACUGGAGAGGAGAUUGGAAUUUACGGUGUAGCAGUGAAAUGCGUAGAUAUCGUAAGGAAGACCAGUGGCGAAGGCGAAUCUCUGGACAGUUACUGACACUGAGGCACGAAGGCCAGGGGAGCAAACGGG